ACAUUUUUGGUUUGUCUAUUAUGCCCCUAUGUGACAACCAUUAUUACAAAAAAAACUAUUCUACGUACUCAUUUUUAAUCACAUUUUUAUAAUAAAACAUUCUAGAUAUAAAUCCAUUUUUUUCGUCAAUUACUCGUAAGUUUGUUUUAUUAUUAUUUUAGGACAUAAUUGUAAUUUACAACAUUCUUGGUUUGUCUAUUAUGCUCUUAUUUGACAACUAUUUUUUCAAAACUUUUUAUUUUACAUAUUCAUUUUCAAUCAUGAAUUCACAUAAUGAAACACUUUACAUGUAAAUUCAAAAUAUUUUUCUAUUUUUAAGCUACAUAUUUUUCAAAAUUCACUAUUCAAAAUGUUGUUUUUCCCAAAUAAAUUUCGUACAUAUUUUUCAAAAUUCACUAUUCGAAACGUUGCUUUUCCCAAAUAAAUUUCAUCAAAAAGAGGCAAUAUAACAUUUUUAUUUAUUUAGGGCUAAUUAUUCAUUACAUGCUUGAGUAAGGGACUAAUGAUAGUCAAUUGUUAAUGAUAAUAUGAGCUAUAUACUUGUGUAGAGAGUUCAAAAUAUUUAACUUAUAUUUCGAUUGAGAGUAAGUUAUUCUAGAUCUACUUAAAGAGGAUAGAAAUCUAAGCCGAAGGGUCAAUUAUUCUACCAAAUAGGGGUAUAUAGUUUGUCUUAAUUGUGACGAUUGUCCAUUCGAGAGUAAUGACACUGACUCAAUUGUGUGUGUAUCGGAUGAACCAAUUGAAGUGUUGAUUAAUUUUAUACAGUACAGUGCUAGAAGAAUUAAUUACACUUAACUAUUUUAUGAGUUAUCUAAAUUAGUUACAGGAUACUGAUUGCUAUCUGUACACUUGAUAUUUGAUGUCAAUGAAUGAGAUCAAUUUAUUAUGAUUAUCCCACCGUUAUGUUGAGAGCUUAUAGAAUCGAAGUAGUGGUCCAUAUCAGCAUUUAGAGCCAAGAAUUCGAGAGGUAAAUUAGUUCACUUAAGUAUUUUGUUCUAGAGAAUAGUGUAAAGCUGAGUUGAGUGAAUAAUUAACAUAAUAGUAUUUAUGUUGUUUUUAUAGGGAAACCCUGAUUUUGUACGUUGCUUUUAUAUCUUAAACCAUUUGUACUCGGUGUACACUUCCCUCAUAUGAGGGGAGUGGGCCCCAGGGCAUUUAAUGCGUAGGCCCCAACCCUUGUGUGAGAGGCAUGCUCGGUGUACAUAUAGCUUGACUCUUGCUUUUAUAGUGAUUUUAUAACACAAGCAAAAAAUGCAUGCAAAGAGAAUUUACAAUUGAGCUUUUAAAGAAAAUAACAUCAAACGAUUCAUGGAUAAUUCCUGUGUCAUUAAUUUUUGCUUGUCUUAGCUCUUGUUUGAGGCCCCCUUUUUUCUCCAAAAAAUUCAUUUUUUAAUACUCAUUUUAAUCACAUAUUUUUUAUUAAAAUAAAUUUACACGUAAAUCGAUUUUUUCUUAUUUUUUAACAAUACAUUGACCAAAAAUUACUAUUCAAAAUACAUUUUUUCCCCUGAAUCAAGGACUUAAUUUAUAUGCGUUCCAUCAUGCCUCGUAUCAAUUUUCCGCGGCACGUGACGUGCUUCAUUUUAGCAUUAUUUCGCUAACCAGUCAUCUUUUUUGUAAGUCAAUAGGCAGAUAUAAAUGAAGUGACCCAAUACCAAUCGAAACUAAAAGUGUUUAUAAUAUGAAUACUCACUAAAAAUUAGGUGAUCACUAAUAUUUUUAUCUCUGUAAGAGACUGAAAUUUGGACGAUGCUUCACUUACAAGUGGGCAUUUUACAGGGCUUGGCCAGGGCACACACAAAGACAGGGCCCACACAAUUUUUUUUAAUGUAGGUCAAUCCCACCGACCUGCCAGAUACAGUGAGGGGGCCUGUAAACCCCUUAUAGAAGUAAUAGAACAGUGCCCUAUACACAAGACAUUGUUGCUGAAAUUUUGGAUCAAAUUCAAAUAUGAUCAAUUGCAAAGUGAAUAAAGACACUGGAAUAGACUUCAGUACGUGCAAUGCUACUCAUUUUGAUCAUAGCCUUUUGAAACUCAAAAUCAAAUCAAACUUCAAGCAACCAUGUUUCCCGCAUGAUUAUCCACAAUUCGAGGUGAUGAAGAAUCUCCCCAAAGCCUCUGAUCUGAUUCCAGAAUUUCAUUUCCAUCCCUUACAUUCUUGAAGAAGCUUAUGUUGAAUUUGGACUGGCUGUCUUCGUCUAGAGCUACCCUUUUUGAGCAACCUCCGCCUUUAGGAGAAGUAGAUCGUAACUGUGCCAAGUAUACUUGGUUAAUGCUGUGUUGAAUUCCUAGUACUUGUGGUGGAAAAGUUUUAUAAACCGACGAUAUUGGAAGAAACAACAGUUCAGUCAGCCAACAAUAUGUGCCCAUGCAACUUUUGGUCUUUGAAUUGAAGAUGAUUUUCAGUUUAGUGCAAGAUUUGCACCAAAAUGAACCCACAAGCUCGACUCAGCCGACGAGCUCGUGAUUUUUUUUUUUUUUUUUUUUUAAAUUUUCACAACUUUGUCACUUUAUUGAAGAGCCCACAGGCUGAGCAAGCUCGGCUUGGGCUCGUAUGUAAAAAUACGAGCCCGAGCUGCUGCGAGACUCAUUUUCGUGAGCCGAGCGGCCGGGUCUGCCAUCCCUCACUGAAAUUAAGUUUAAGCAAAAAUAAUUUAUAAAAAAUAAUCGACGUGUCCAUCUUUCUAGGACUGAAAAAAAAAAGAUAAUGACCAAUGAUUUGGCUGUUUCAUAUGAUCAAACGUCCAUUUGAGCAAGAAUUUCAAUUUCUUUGACACAUUACAUUACCAUACAUCUAACCCAAAAUAAGUAUGCUAGUUACGUGAUACUGUACAAGUUUAAAAAAACUUUUUUGAGCAUCUUUGAGUAAUUAAACAGGCCUAAAAUUAUGCGAAUAACGGGCAAUAAAUAUGCAAAACAACCUUGAGUUCAAAGUAAAGGCCUGCCAUUUAUGGGGACUCAUCAGUUACACCUACUCUGUCACCAUGUUCCAAAUCCAUCCUCGUCUUAUCUAUCAGCAUCUGCAAGGAAUAACUUUGAUUAAUUGUUUAAUACAGCACAACGUCAAAAUAAGUUCACAUAAAUUAAGCCAAAUGCAGAAAAUGACAUUUUCGUAUUCUAUUUCCGCUCUAUGAGCGCAAUCACAGUUCUUAUCAUCAUCAAAAUGUGUGGAAUCUCCUGGAGAGCUGUUUUAUAUCGUAUACAAUAAGAAUUCAGGUGUUCAUAAAAACUUUAACUCAAGUGUCGGCAAAUUAUGAAAUCAUAUAUCAUUGUCAAGGCAACAUUUCUCUCAAGCUUAAGACUGGUAGCUUUUAUUUCGUUGAAAAAGAAAUGUGUCAGCUCCUUCACUUGCCAUCUAAUGACCAACAACAGUAUGGUAACAACAAUUAGACAACACGUGUAAAUUAUUUUAUUAAGAGAAUGUAUGGUUAAAAAUAAGUUUGGAUAAAAAUGAGUUUUGAAAUAAUGUUGUUUUUCAAAAGAAGAUAGCUAUAUUCCUAUGGGAUCGUUUAGGCCAUGAAAGAUGCUAUUUUAAUUUUAACAGAGUUAUCCAUUUGUACCAAAAUCAAUACGAUGAUCAAUUAGAACCUUUUUAGAUGAAAUUUAACAAAGAAAUAAGCUCUUCAUGAGGGCUGAUUUCUAUUUUAAGCUAGAUGCUAUUUUGGAAAAAAUGCUAGCAUGGAAGAGAGCAUGACUGCAGUAUGUAUACCUAUUGCAGUAGGCAUAUCAUGAACAGCCCGCAAUGAAAUUUUCUUGUGAUCUUUUAGUAAAAAUGUUUAUGACAUAACUUUUCAUCAAGUACAAUAUUUAUAUAUAUUUGUAACCUUUAACUGCAUAGUUUUAUGCAAAAUAGUUUGGAUUGAUAAAUAGAAAGCCAUAUCUUUAUCCCAAAAAUAACAACUCUUAUUUAAAGGGAACUUACAGAAGCUGACAUUGAGAAAUUUCAUAUUUGGACUAAAUUAGAUAAGCCCAUGUUCGGUUAUGAUUAAAAAUCUGAUUUUAAUUAAAAUAGAAGUCAAAUAAUCAAUAUUAACCACAUCUUUCAUAUGUCCCACAACUUUUCAACCACAUAUUUCAAAAACUUCUAUCACAAUCUACUAAAAAAAUCUAAUUUGAAUCCCCACCAAACAUCCUCUAAAAGUUCAUCUUCAGAUAGGUCUUUAUUUUCAUCUGUAAAAUAACUAAGAAACUGAUUGGUGAGGAAAGACAAAUCAAGAGAGAUCAUGCAUUAACAGUACAACAAAUAUUACAGAAGGUUUGACUCAAUUGAUGCAAAAUUGACCAAAUAAAGAUGUGGAUAGGCUAACCUGGAAUUCCUGUUCAGAGGUUUUGAGCCUGUCAUCAUAAUCCUUCACUUGCAGAUAACAUUUAUGCAACUGCACAAAUUUCAUAGAACAUGAUAACCAUCUUAAAGAAACUUCGAGUUAUACACAUAUACUCCGAAACAGCAAACCGAAUAUUCAUUACAAUUACCUUGGUUAAUUGUAACCGAUGAUAUAAUGUGGUCUUUUUUGCAGCGAGCAGUGAAUCCUCCAAUUUCUAAAGUCACCAAACCAUUCUAAUCAGGAAAGGCAAAUGUAAAGAGAAAUCUGUUUGUGAGCACAAAAAGCCAAGAAAUGGAGUACUUCCUAACUAUAAAACCACCAAUUGUAAUGAAUCACAACCUGGGAUUUUUCUCGUAACUUAGAAAUAAAUUCUUCCUUCUCUGCUGCCACCUCUUCCAUUCGAGAUAUCUGGAUCAAUAAAUUAAAUGUUAGAUCCUAGAGUUGUCACCUGAGCUUUAAUCUAAGUAUUAUGAGAACAAAAGACAGCUCACUGACAUGAGGUCUACAGCUAUUUUAGCAUGUAGUCUAGAUUUCCAAUAACUAGAAUGAAAAAAUUUCAAGAAUACGGAAAUCAAAUUAUUCAUACUAUAUGACAAAUGCUCAGGCCAUUGUAUCCCUGCUACACUUUCGAGUAACGAGAGAAUGUACACUAGUGUAAGGGCAUGUCAUGUGUAUGGGCGUGAAUAUUUAGUUAAAUCUUAAGUUGAAAGUAUUGAUUAUUUUGAGAUGCACUUAAGGAUGACAGAAGCUUAAAAUAUGCUUUUGAAAUUCGGGUUCAAGCAACUGAUAUCAAUUUUUGCAGUAAAGGUAUGGUAAUUUUUCUUCAAAAGGUCCAACUGAAUUUUGGCAACAUCCAAAUGUUAAGAAACAGUAGUAGUAAUUUAAAUUUGUGAAUAUACAGUUAACCUUUAAUCUUAAUUUAUAGGAAAAAGUGAUAAUUUAUAAUGGAAACUGUUGAAGAUUCCGGAAUAUUAAGGAUUGGGUGAUUUAUUUGUUUCCAUAUAUAUAUAUAUAUAUUCUUUCUUCAGUUGUAGAUUUAACAUAUAUGUAAUCUUUGCUAUGUAUUUUAUCCCUAUAAAAGGGGCUGUACACAAGGGGAAUAACAUUGAAUUGCUCUCUCAUUAUUUUGGUGUUUAACUUCUACCUCUCGGGGCUGUACACGAGGGGAAUAACAUUGAAUUGCUCUCUCAUUAUUUUGGUCUUUAUCUUCUACCUCUCUCCCCGGUUUCAUGGUAUCAGAGCCGUGGGUUACUUAGGUAGGUGGAAUGGAAAAGACUACCAUGACAGGUGCAUGCCGAGGAGGAUUCGAGGAACUCCACCACAAUCUCCGAACCUUUCUCUACAAGUGCACCCAACACUUCAAAUUAUCAACCCUGAACUCAUGGUAAUUCAUGGUCGACGGCGUCUUGGGUACGUCAUUGGAACUACAAAAAGACCAUAUGAAGAUGAUCCAACCUAUCCUACUUGGGAUGCACACAACUCCAUGGUAAUGGCAUGGAUAGUUAAUUCAAUGGAGGAAGGUAUUAGGGAGUCUUACCUUAUAUUACUCGACUGCAAAGGAGCUCUGGGAUGCACUUACGAUGGCUUUUUCAGACCUGGAGAACUCUGCUCAAUUGUUUGAGCUUCGAAACAAGGCCAAAAAUCUGCACCAAGGGGAACUCGAUGUCACACAGUAUUAUAAUGCACUGCAACGGCUCUGGCGAGUAAUCGAUACGUUUGUCCAGAUUGAUUGGGAUAUACCAAAAGAUGCCGAAAAGUAUAAGAAGCAGGUUGAAAAGGAGAGAAUCUUUGAUUUCUUGGCUGGAUUAGUCCCCAAAUUGGACGAAGUUAGAGGCAGAUUGCUGGGCAUGAAGCCAACUCCGAUAAUUGAUGAAUUUUUUGCAGAAGUACGCAAGGAGGCUAGCCGACGACAUGUCAUGCUUGGAGACUCUAAGCAAUCUUCACUGGAGAAUUCGACCUUGCAGCUAGCUGACAAGAGGCAUCACAAGGGACCAAAAAGAGCAAUUCUUUGUGCGAACAUUUCAAGAGGUCGAACCACUCAAUUGACCGGUGCUGGGUCUUACACGGCAGGCCACCAAAGAGAAAGCAAGGGUUCAGACUCACCGAGAAGAUGUCCAAAUGUGUAACCCUUCUGGUCUCUAGAGUUUUGUCGAAUCACCGUCGGUUGCAACACAGCCAGAUAACGUCUCUCUUCCUUACGCGAGAACAACUAGAGCAAUUAUAUGAAAACCUUACCCCUUAGUUUGACUGCUGAGAGAGGUAAUUUUAUAAUGGCAUUAACCAGCACAGGUAAUGUAAAUCAAUGGGUUAUCGACUUAGUUGCCACAAAUCACAUGACGGGGUAUAAAAAAUUAUUCUUAUUCUCCAUGCUCAAGACAUUUUAAAGUAAAAAUAGCUGAUGGGUCACUCUCACUGGUGGCUGGAAUUGGAACUAUUAGACUCACCCCAAAUAUCGAAUUAAAAUAUGUGUUGCAUAUCCCAAAUUUAUCUUGCAAUCUCCUUUCUAUUAGCAAGUUAAUAAAAGAUUUGCAUUGUAAAGUCAACUUUACUGAGUCGUUGUGUAUCUUUCAAGACCUAACUUCGAGGAAGAGGAUUGGCAAUGCUAAAGAACAUGAGGGAUUAUACUACUUUCUGGAAGACACUUCUUGGAAUAAACAAGUUGCGAGUCUAUCCCUAGAGAACAACAAAUAAUGUUGUGGCAUCAUCGUUUAGGUCACCCUAAUUUUUCAUAUCCUAAAUAUUUAUUUCCAUCAUUGUUUCGUAAUAAGAUAUGUUUCAGUAUGAUAUUUGCCAAUUAGCUAAACAUGCCCGCUCUUCAUUUCAAUUUGUUGAUUAUAAAUCCUCAUCACCUUUCACUUUAAUUCAUAGUGAUUUGUGGGCCCAUCUAGGGUUACGAGUAUUACGGGUAAAUAUUGGUUUAUAACUUUUACAGAUGAUCAUACGAGGGUAUGUUAGGUAUACCUCUUAAAAGAUAAGUCUGAAACUGCACAAACCUUUAAAAACUUUUAUUCUAUGAAACAAACCCAAUUUGAUGCAAAGAUAAAAGUCCUUCCAAUUGAUAACUGCGAGAAUACUUCAAUCAAGUUUUGGGAAAUUCCUCACUGAGAAAGGUAUCUUACACCAAAGCUCUAGUGUUAUUACCUCCCAAUAGAAUGGAAUUGCAGAAAAGAAAAAUCGCCACCUCCUCGAAACUGCUAGAGCCCUUAUGUUUACUAGUAGGUUCCUAAAUCCUUUUGUUGAGAUGCAGUUCUCAUUGCAUGUUACCUUAUAAACAGAAUGCCUACUAGAAUGCAUAAUUUCACCCCUCCAUUAAUAGCUCCGUUGAAUGCUUACCCACAAAUUCGAUCUCUAUUCUCCAUACCCUAAAAGGUGUUUGGUUUUACUGCCUUUACUCAUGUCCAUGAUCAUGAAAAUACCAAGUUAAACCCUAAAGCUUGAAAAUGUGUGUUCUUGGGGUGGUACUCAUUCCAAAAAAGUUACAAGUGUUACUCCCCAGUUACUCGUAAAUAUUACACGUAUAUGGAUGUUAUGUUAUUUGACUCUAUUGUUACUCCCCAGUUACUCGUAAAUAUUACACGUCUAUGGAUGUUACGUUUUUUGAGUAUCUUCCAUAUUUUUCCCAAAAUUUCCCUCAAGGGAAGGAACAUAACGUUGAUGGAAACUUUUGGGAGUCGAUACCACACAUACUAGAGGUUCCUAUAUCACCCAUCAAAGAAUCAAAACAUCCCAUACCAAACGAAACUUCUUCCACUAAUCACUCCACUUUUCGAUGAUUCACAACGUGUUGAUUCUCUUGUUCAGCCAAGUUUAACGAUAGGGGGAGACAAAGAACUUGCAACUACACCUGAGCUACGUGUUUAUUCCAAGAGGAAAAAUCCCGGAAAUGUAGAACACCUCACAGUUCAACCUCAAAACCAAGAAUCUGAUCCGAAUUCAGGUAAUUCCUCUACCCUGCAAAAUGACUCUACUAAUGAUUUAGAUAUUCCUAUUGCACUCAGAAAGGGAGUUAGAUUGUGUACAAAACACCCUAUCUCAAACUUCAUAGGGUACAGUCAUCUCUCUAAUUCAGUUCAAGCUCUGGCUACAAACCUGUCACUCAUUAAAGUACCAACUACUAUACAUGAAGCCUUGUCGAUUCCAGAAUGAAGAAAGGCAGUUGAGGAAGAGAUGGGAGCCUCUAAUAAGAAUAGGACAUGGCAAAUUGUGGGAAGCCUAAGAAUAAGUCAACUGUGGGGUGCAAAUGGGCACUCUCUGUUAAGUACAAGUCAGAUGGUUCGGUGGAGCGCUAUAAAGCUAGAUUAGUGGCAAGGGAAUAUUCUCAAACAUAUGGAGUAGACUAUCAGGAAACUUUUGCUUCGGUUGCGAAAUUAAACACAGUAAGAGUUCUCCUGACACUAGCAACAAACCUAGAUUGGAAACUCCAACAACUAGAUGAAAAAAAUGCUUUCCUGAAUGGUGACUUGGAAGAAGAAGUGUAUAUGGAACUCCCUCCUGGGUUUGAUGCAACUAUGAUCCAGGGAAAGGUCUGUAAACUGAACAAAUCCCUAUAUGGGCUAAAGCAAUCCCUACGAGCCUGGUUUGAACAGUUCAUGAAGGCUGUGUGUUAGCAUGGAUAUAAGCAAGCUCAAUCUGAUCAUACUCCGUUCUACAGGAACUCAGUCGAAAAAUAUCUAUUCUAAUUUUUAUGUGGAUGAUAUAGUUUCGACAAACAAUAACUAUGAAGAAAUGGAGAGGCUAAAGAAAGCUCUUUCUACUGAGUUCGAAAUAAAAGACUUAGGCCCCUUACAGUACUUUCUUUGCCUAGAGGUUGCAAGAAAUAGGAGUGGAAUUUCCAUUUCACAAAGAAAAUAUGUCUUUGAUCUCUUAAAGGAAACUGGUAUGUUAGGGAGUAAACCAGCAGAUGUCUCUAUAAACCCCAAUCAUAAACUAGGGGACGGCUUAGGAAGUACAUCGGUUGUAAAGGAAGAUAUCAGCGCCUUGUAGGAAAGCUAAUUUACCUGUCACACACCAGGCCUAACAUUGCUUUUGCAGUUAGCGUUGUAAGCUAAUUCAUGCAUGCUCCAUUUAAUGAGCAUAUGGAGGCUGUCUACCAAAUCUUGAGGUAUCUUAAAGUGACUCUGGGACUUGGACUCUUCAGAAAAAUUUCGAAAGAUCUAUUGAAACAUUCACAGAUGCUGAUUGGGCAGGGUCAGUAAUGGACAGAUCUACAAUCGGUUAUUGUACUUUCGUAUGGGGAAAUCUAGUCACCUAGAAAAGUAAGAAACAACCAGUUGUAGCAAGAAGAAAUGCUGAAACCGAAUUUAGGACUUUGGCUUAUGGAAUAUGUGAAAUAAUGUGGUUAAAGUUAUUGUUGGAGGAACUUGGUAUUCAGCAAAAUGAACAUAUGAAAGUUUAUUGUAAUAACAAGGCAGCUAUUGCAAUGUCACACAAUCCUGUUCAUCAUGACAAGACGAAACAUGUUGAGGUAGAUGACAUUUUAUCAAAGAAAAGAUAGAAAAUGGGACAAUAUGCAUGGUGUAUUUGCUUUCUUCUGAACAAGUUGCAGACUUAUUGACCAAGGGGUUGUUUAAACCCAUGUUUGAAAAAAUAGAGGACAAGUUGGAAUUGUUCAACUUAUAUCGCCCACCUUGAGGCGGAGUGUUGAAGAUUCUGAAUAUUAAGGAUUGGGUGAUUUAUUUGUUUCCAUAUGUAUUAGUCUAUCCUAGGCAAUAUAUAUAUUCUUUCCUUAGUUGUAGAUUUAACAUAUAUGUAAUCUUUGGUAUGUAUUUUAUCCCUAUAAAAGGGGCUGUACACGAGGGGAAUAACAUCAAAUUGCAAUCUCGUUAUUUUGGCCUUUAUCUUCUACCUCUCUCCCGGGUUUUCAUAAACUAGACUUGAUUUACAGUUGAACCACAAUGAUAUAUGCAAAACAAUUGAUGCAUACCCACAUCCUUGUCCAAGUGGUGUGUGUUUCUGACAUGCUUACUACAAUGCAUUUAGGAGACUAUACCAUAACAAGGAUAUAACCAAAGCCCUCAACUCAUUUCCACGACAGUUAGUUUUAAACUAAAUAGUUUGUAUUUUCGCAAUAAAAAGCAUUGCUCCUUGUCUGGUGCAAGGUUAUAAACAGAAAAUAGACCUUGUUAUGAAGUUCUUCAAGCUCUUCACUUGCACUUGCUAGUUUAUUUUCCACCUGAAUAUACACAUACAAAAACAGUGACAUGAGUACAAAAACACAAUUCACAAAGGAUGUCACAAAGUGAGACAGACAAAUAUAUAUACACACACACACACGCAUGUAUAUGGGAACAUUAUAUUGAGGUUGAACCUGAUUGUGAUCAUCACCAUCUGAUUCCAAAGAAAACUCUCUAUGCCCAUGACCAUCAAUGCUAGAUCUGCUUAGAAUUAUAUUGUCAGAAUUACAUAGGCAGCAGUUAGCGCUCAUACAAAUAGAAAAUAAAUAAUGUAAUGAGAACAGAGCUCCAAUUAAGUAGUAGUAUAUUAAUGGAUCUCAGAUGCAACUAUGUGGACAAUGGAACAAUUCUGCUGCUAGUUACGAGCAGGCAGAUAUACAUAGAAAUCCAAAACAGUUGAUUCAAUCACUCUAUCAAGAUUGCCCCAGAAAACAAAGACGAAAGAAAGAAAAUGAAUACAUCUACAAACAAAAGCAAGAAAUUAGACACUGAAACACUUCUGACUGAAUAUUAUAUCACUUCAUAAGAACUAUGAACAGGUUCAAGUAAUCAAAACAUAAAUAAACAAAUAUAUGAAACCAAUUUUCAUCAUUAUCAUCAACAACAAGCCAAGGCGAAGAAUAUUACCCAUUCAGCAAGUGGAGUUGUUCAUAAUUAUCAUUAUCUUCAAUAUUGUGAUGACUGUUAUUCCUCCUUUCCUCAAUACUAUGAUCCCUGUCUCUUUCCCUGUCCUGAUCAUUCUUCCUUUCAAGUUCCUGCUCAUCUGCCAUUUGUCUAUUGCGUUCAUGAAAUCUAUCUCCAUCAACAUAUCGAUCCCUAGCCCGAUCAUGACCAUGUACACGAUCAUAGCCUCUCUCCCUAUCUUGGUCAGAGUCUUGAGACCUUUCUCUACGUCCAUCCCGAUAACGAUACGUAUCAUAACUUUGGUCUCUUUCUAGAUAUCUAACCCUAUCUCGGUCAAUACCCCUAUCAGAAUCACGUCGAACACUCUCACGAUUGAAGUUUGAUCUGCCGCCUCUGGUCUUCACUUCAUUUACUCUCACAACUCGUCCAUCAAUAGUCUAAUUAAGGGCUUCAAUAUGUUAAAUACAUAGAAGAAGACAGCUUGAAAAUGUAGAUGAGGAAAUGGGGGAAGAAAUAUUUGCAGAUAAUUAAAGAGACAAAGUGUUGUCUAAUCAGUUAGCUUCAGAGAAUUGUCUAAUCAGUUAGCUUCAGAGAAAUACCCUGCCAUCCAUUUCCUUGAUCGCAUGCAUUGCAGAUCGAGGAUUUCUAAAAGUGACAAAGCCAUAGCAUUUCCCCCCAAUUGAACGGUCAUUAAUUAUCUGCAAAAUCAAACAUGAAAACCAUAAUCAUUAAUCAGUCUUCAUAAGACAAUAAUAAAUGCAGGGAAGAAUAGUCAGAGGCAAAGAACCAAAAUUUGAAAACACAUCGCACACAUCACCAAAUAAAGAUAAUCUUUCAAUCAAAGAGAAACAUAGCCAUGCUCUUACUAGAAGUAACUGAAACUCAACUUAGAACUUCAAAACAGUAUAAACUAACUCCUAGAAGUGCCAAACAAAUGCUAAGGAAAUACACAAUAAUAAUGAUAAUCACCCCUUGAGUGCCAAAGGGGGAGUUUGUGAAUAUGAUUCAUGCAUUAAUAGAACACUGCUUUCUGCAAUAUAUGGAAAAUUCAUCAAUACUACUACUCCAAUGACAAAAACAUUAUCAGUAACUAUGCAGUGACAAUUGAUUUUGCUACUACUUCUUCGACUGACUUGUUACUCUUGUUGAUGUAGCUUCACUUUGUUUUCUAUUCAAAGCUUUGCCAACAGAGUUAGGGUUCAAGAUUGCAGAUCUAGUAUCUCUUCUAGAUCUUUAUAUACUAAAGUAUUUAGCAAAAGAAAUUAAAUGAAUAAAUUAGUUAGCCUAUGUAAACACCUGAACAAUGUUGAUAUUAUCAUCUUCAUCUAAUUUCGGAAAAAGAGAAAGAGAGAAGCCUAUAAAGAUGAUUCUUAUUAUCAAAACCAUAAUUGUGAUAGUAAUAAAAUAAAAACAACACUGAUGGAACAACUAAAUUAAAUGAACAGGCUAAUGUAGUUAUUCACACCUCUUGAAAAAAGUACCAUGGGUGGCAUUAUAAAAUUUCCUUAAAAGCUAUCUUGUUUAAGCAAUAUCAUGAGAUCAUAUCUCUCUCUUUCUCUCUAAGCUUUGCCAACAGAGUUAGGGUUCAAGAUUGCAGAUCUAGUAUCUCUUCUAGAUCUUUAUAUACUAAAGUAUUUAGCAAAAGAAAUUAAAUGAAUAAAUUAGUUAGCCUAUGUAAACACCUGAACAAUGUUGAUAUUAUCAUCUUCAUCUAAUUUCGGAAAAAGAGAAAGAGAGAAGCCUAUAAAGAUGAUUCUUAUUAUCAAAACCAUAAUUGUGAUAGUAAUAAAAUAAAAACAACACUGAUGGAACAACUAAAUUAAAUGAACAGGCUAAUGUAGUUAUUCACACCUCUUGAAAAAAGUACCAUGGGUGGCAUUAUAAAAUUUCCUUAAAAGCUAUCUUGUUUGAGCAAUAUCAUGAGAUCCUCUCUCUCUCUCUCUCUCUCUCUCUCUCUCUCUCAACAUCUUAGAAUUUUUUUUCCAAGAAUUAAAGAUAGCUAUCAAUAUGUAUCUUCUCAGAUAAUAAAUCUGCAACAGAAACAUCAAAAUAAACAUGACAUUAUCAUGGUAUACGCAAUAGAAAAAUCAAUAUGUGGAACCCAUAGUUUAGGUCGGUAUGUGCUGCUAAAAGAACAGAGAAUUAAGCUAAGGGCAUAGGGUCCAUUUCUUUUGAUUCUGAUAAACUAAUCAGUAGAAUAAUAAUAGUCCAUGAAUCAAGAGCCAAUAAGAACCCUCUCCGUCCCCCCCUAUUUUUCUUCUCCGCAAUUCUCUUUCACACAAAUAAAGUGACAGGCCAAGAACCAGUGGUGCAACACUUGAAUUACAUGAAAAGUUGAUGGCAAGUAGCUGAUGAAUGAUUUUACAAUAAAUCAUUUGAUACUAAACACAAGUCAGGAAUCAGAAAAAAUGUUGUUAAUGAAGGAUGUAUUUCAUUUUUCUCUAAAGAAAGCCGACUUGAAUUAAAUAUUAAAUAAUGCCCCUAAGAAUGGUAGGGAUCAUUAUUGUAUGGAUCUAAGCAUUUCCUAAAAUUAACAAUGAUGACAAUAUUGACAAAUAACAACAAUGAAUGAAUAUGAGCCCUUCAGCAUAUGAUGCUCCUCACCCACAGAACCACUUCAUUUAGAAGCUUAAGUUAGCAUAGGAAAACAUUUACUAAUUUAGAUUUAGUUUUUAACAUGUCACAUCACAUGCAAGCCAAAUUACCUUUGAUCAAAGACCUAACACAUGCAUAAUUUUCAUUAAUUGUUCCCUGUAAGGCCUGAAUCCUGUACUUUACUCAUCUUGAUACCAUAUUAAACCAUCAUCUCGUCUGAUUCCUAAAGUAUCAAAAAAGUGACACAUAUAUAAUUAAUUUUAUUGUUCAACACACCCUUUCGCUUGCAACCAGAUUCAUUUCCCAUCAUUGCUCUUUCAGCUUCUUGAACUUUCGCCCCACAGAUCUACAUAUUUCUCCAAACUGGUGUUUUUGUUGUAUGUCCAACCCCAAAAACUCAAGUCUAGUAUAAUUUAACAUAUACUAAACCAAGAAGACGUAAGACCAUCUUCAAUCUUCAGCCAUCAAAAUCUUUAUUUUUUUUUAAAGGAAUAUGACAAUCACCUUAAUGAACAGAGACUAAAAUUUACUCAAGUGCGAAAAGAGUAUUAACUAGGUAGUUUAGAAAGAAAAACAAAUUCAGAAUCAAAAGAUGAUUUCAGCCAAAUAAAGGACUACCUUUUAAACUGUUCAGUUUAGUAAUCACACAAUAAGCAUAGAUCCAAGCUGUUCUCUAGUCUCUCGGAACGUAUUUGAAAUUAACGAAAAAAAAAAUUGAGAAAUGCGAACAAGAAAAACUCCAAUCUAGUAGUCUCAAUAAGCAAAUAUAAACUACAGAUAUAUACAAGGAGAAGCACUGGUAGACCUUGACGGCAACGACGGCGCCGUAUAUAUCGAAGAUCCUGCGGAGGCUUUCUUCGGUGACGUCGUACGGAAGCCCGCCGACGUAGACGGAGGUGUUAUCGUUUAUCGUCAUUUCUUCCACUAGCGAAUCUUCUACAAAGCUAGAUUAGAUUAUUAUCGCCAGGGAUUGAAAAGCUUCCGUACGGUUAUAACUUAUAAGUUGAUAAAGCAUAAUUUAUUUUUGAAAAGCGUUUUUUACGAUUAUAAGUUGGUUUAGCAUCGUUUUCUUUUGACAUGUUCGGUAUUAUUCACAAUUUUUGUCUACUUUUUUUAUAAAAGCAUUUGGUACCUAACCUAAGUAUAUAAUUUAUAAAAUUUUACUUAACGUAUACUAAGAAUAAAAUAGUAGUCUCUCGUUUGGUGUGAUUUGAAAAUUGACAAAAAGUUAAACUAAAGUUAACAAAUAAUUUUAAUUAUAGAAUUCAUAAUUUUUAUUAACUUUUUAAUCACAUAUUUUAUUUUAAAAUUUACUAAAGUCUAAUUUUAUUUUUUUUAUUUACACCAAACAUGGGCUAAGUUUAAAAUCAGUAUUUGUUAUUAAAGAAAAUUACAAAUUUUAAAUUACAUUUUUUUUUUAAUGAAACUCUCAAGUUAACAAUUCCAUUUUUUUUUUUUUUUUUUUGGGGAAACGAGGAGGAAUUUCAUCUUAUUAAUACAUUGGAAAAGGAAUACAAUUCACAUAAAUACAUGAAUAAAGAAAAAGCAAAGGUUGCAAGCAUGGGUGUUAAAGUUUUAGCUCCAAAUUCAAAAAAUAUCACAAUAAUAUAUGAUUGCUGAUAUUAUGAAGAUUUUGCUAUUAAUAUAGGAUAUUGUGCAAUUAUUUUUUGGUAGAGUUUCUUUUUUUGUAAUAUAUAUUUUUUUUUAUAUCCAGGUAUUCCAGUUUACACUAAACUAAAUCCUGGACCCCCAAAACCCUUGCCCCUAGAACCUUGGAUGGGGUAAAUCGCGGGUUAUGCCUCAACUGGAUCACAGGUUUCUCCCACCGCCUGUACACUUCUGCGCACAAGAGAUCCUCCUCCAAAGUGAUUACUCCAUAUCAAAUAAAUCUGGCCGCAGGUUCCCACCAGGAUUCGAACCUUCACCCUGCCGCUGAAAGCAAGACAAAUGUUGAUUGAUCAACUAGUUGAGCUGUACCCCGGGGGCUUCUUUUUUUGUAAUAUUUGUCAAUAUAGUAGGAAUUAUAUAAGGUUUCUUUGUAAUAUUCAAUUUUUCUUGUAAAAGAGCUCUUUGAAAGCCAUUUUGAUACCACUUUCACUAAAAGCUUUUUUAAUUCAAAAAAUUAUACAAAUAUUUUGCAAAGCAACUUCAUAAAUUCAUAAGUAGCUUUUGACUUUUUAAAGAUUUAAUCAAAUGAGUCCUUAAUCUAUCUAUAUUCUUUCAGGGAAAGCAUAAGCGGUGGCUGGUGGAAGUUAAUAUUUAGGGCUAGUGGUGGGAAUGUGGUUGGUUUUAGGUGUUGAUCUGAAAUAUGGGUAUGAUGGGAGGGGGAAAACAGGAUGAUAGCUAGUAGAAGUUGAAAUUUCGGGCCGCGAUGGACAUGUUGUAGCAAUGGUGGCAGCAGUCACCAGUGGUGGGACGGGAGUAGUAGCGAUAAUGAUAGGCUUGGGUAAGAUGGAGGCAUCAAAAUAUUUUGAUUAUUUUGUUUUCCAUUUUGUCCAUUGAGGGUAUAAUAGUCAUUUAACACAAGUUUUGACUUUUUAACGUUCAUCACGAAAGGACCACACUUGCACUAGUUUCAAAUGUUGAGGACGUAGGGUACCACAAAUUAAAGGUUCGUAACCUAGUUGUCUAGAUUCAAAGUUCGGUAUUCCAAAUACAAUUUACCCUUCUGUUUAUCACAAACAAUGUUAGGAAUCUGCGGCAAUCCAGUUCUAACCACAUGUAAUAUUGUUUGUUGGAAAUACUUGACAUCAGUAUGGUCUAUUUCUCUAGGACACCCUAGUGGUUAAGAUAGUUUAUAUGGUAAAACCAUGCUUAUUCGAGUAGGGUUUAAGUUAUUGUAUCUCAUGUAUCAUAACUAUGCCCCCGUUUGGCCCCCAUUACGUGAAAAAUUAAUGGGUGGAAUAGUAUUUUUUUUGAAAAAUGAGUGGUUAAAAAAGAAGGAAAAAUUUUCGAUUUACGCGUAAUAUUAUUUUAUGGAAGAUUGUGUGAUUGAAAAUAGGAAAGAGAAAAAUGAAAUGUAAUGUAAUGUAAAUUAAUGGGGCUCAAACAGGUGCUAUAUAUAGAUAUUGGAAAAAAAUGCCUACAGGAAAUUACUGCCUCUUGAUCACAAUCACACUAUCCUUGAUAGACAGAAGUCCGAUGGUGGUGCAAUAUUUGUCAUUGUAGGGCAGUUCAAUGAAAGAUGUGUUCCACGGGUCACUUUUUAGAAGAAUCGAUUAGUAUGAACAAGAUCCCACUUAUAAGUGUCGUGCGGGCUUGAUCUCAUCACAAUUUCGCUACUUGUACAGAAACUGUACAUAUUUGUCGAUGGAAAAUGAGAUGACAGUUUUUUGAUCCUUUAUUUGAAUGAAUGAUUGAGGGCCAAAAAUUGCCGCCUCAUUUCUGUCAACAAAUAUGUACAAAAAUUCUGUACAUGUAGCAAUUUUUGUCUCAUCAAACAUCUACCCAUAUAUAUCUUAGUUAUUUGCGUGCACUUAUUGCAACGACUACUGCAGUCAAGCCAAUCAAACCUACCUCCCUCCCUCCGGGCAGUAGAAUGGAAGUUAAAGAAGAUAACAUUCAAUGCCUUUAUGACAUCAAAUUUUACACACAACUAUAGAAAUUGUAUUUUAAGCAUCUUACAUCUAUGUCAGGAGAAAUUACAUGCAUAGAAAAUGCACGAUUAGAGAAACUAAAAACAGAUCAAAAUUCAAAUUAUACGGGGGGCAAUGACAGGUAUAGACCUCCAUAUAACUAGACUAUUUAGCAACUUGUUCAACGACAGGUGAUUUAUUCCAAGCUUCCUCUAAUCCACCAAGCUGCAAUGGUGGCAACGAAAACAUGCUAACAGUUGAGCUUCCACUACGAAUCUCUUUCAAAGCUCGUAAAGCAGAUAUAGUACUUUUCAUAUACAGGCUCUCCAUGAACUCGAUCUCAGCAAGUUCUUUUGGGCCUUUUAGCAGAACUUCAUUGUUGGUUGUGGAACUGGUUGAGGGUUCGUCUCCAUCAGCUGCCUCAGUUUCAGGUGGUGUUUUGUUCACUGGAAACAGGCGGUCGAGCAUUGUCUCACACUCUUUCACAAGCUUGUACAGUAAGUCAGUUGUAAAAAAAGGCUGUUGCACAACCUUCUGUAUGAAUGGCAGGCGAAGCAGAGCACCAGUUCUUUUGUCAUACUUCUUCAAUAUUUUGGCCAGUCCUGUUAAGCACAAAGUGAUAAAGACUAAAUCUUAAUAUUGUUUCAUGUGGACCAUAGUCUAAGACAUUGUAAGUAAAAAUUUAUAAAUAAUAAUUUUAAGGGCAUUAUAUGAACCAACUUCUCCAGCAAAAGGCUGGUAUAAGCCUUAUUUAUUAUCGACAGACUUCUCUAUAACACAUCGAGAUGUAAAUGAUUAGGACUGUGUUGGCUAUGAACAAAUUCUAUUAAUCUUACUUUUAUCCAUCUAGAUUACAGUAUUGAUGCCACAAGGGAUAAUUCAAUGAAUUUUUCAGACAAGACGUAUCUAAAACAGAGGAAAGCAUGAUAUGGAAGUUUUGAUUUGUUGAUAUUCUAACUCAAUAAUUAUAUAGCAGGAAUUCAACAGUCAAGAAAUUCAUAGUUCUAAAGCUGUCUAAUGUGAAGGCAAAAAACAGAAGUAAUUAGAUUACAGAGUUAACUCGAAAAAUGUAAAAGUUUUUUUUACCUGUAUAAUUAAGAGCACUGUAAUUCUCCAACAAAACCAUCUCCCCAUGAAAGUCGACAAUUUCUUUCCAUAUUUUGAUCGUCUCAUCGUUCUGGUCCUUGGCCUUAGCCACCCGAUCUUGCAAUUCCUUUACACCAAAUAAUGUAAAAAUACGUAAGUUCACUACCAGAACCAAAUAUUCACUCGCAAUCUAUAGUAAAGCAUCUAAUUGCAAAAUAAUAAGAACAGAAUAUAGUAUUCAACACUAAGUGGAAUAUACAAUUUCUUAAAUCUGUUGUCCAAUUGAGUCCAGUCACCAUACGAAACAUGCCUUAAAUGCUAAAAUAACAAUGACAAUUACAAGUAUCCUGCUAAACAAAUAGUGGAAAUUUAUAUUGAACUAUGCCCACAUCAUUGUUGUCGAGAUGUAGGUAAUUCAGCCAAAACAAAAAAAGAAAGUGAAAUGUCAAUAAAAUGAAUUGAGUUUUAUCAUAUCUACUGUUGAAUAAACCAUAAAAAUCAGGUAAAAGAAAAUGGAUGGUCAUUCUAUUUUGCCCUGUGUUCACAUAUAUAUUUUUUAACCCUUAAACUUAGAGCAUCUCCAAGAAACUCUCUAAAUACAAAAUACUCUUUAUUUUAAAGAGUAAAUUAAGAGUGGACAAAAUGUCUCAACAAAACUAGACUAAAUCAAAAUCGAACCCAACCAAGCGGUUUGGUUCAAUUCUACAAAAAGUUUAAUGAUUUUGAUUCUUCGAACCGAGAACCAUUUUGUUUUGGCUUUAAUUUGAUUAUUGGAGACAGCCCAUUAAUUGGAGAUAGCUCAUUAAUUGGUUCUGUGUCAUUGGAGAUAUUUCAUUAAUUGUGUACACGCUAAUUUUGUAUUCAUUGAAUUUUUUUUUCUUUCACCCCUUUUCAAUUUACACAGCGCUACAGCAUGUCAACUCCCUAUUUCAUCACGUUAGUAGAGGAGAAUUGUCAAUCACUUAAAAUGCCUUUAAACUAUCUUUUCACCUUGAUUAUUUGAUGAAUUAUUUGGGUUCUUCACAUAGAGGAAAAUUCAAUAAGCAUUCAUGGAUAUAAAUGGUUAAAGGUUUCCUGUAAAAGUGGAAUGUAAACAUUUUGCAUAAUUCAUCAUUUAUUGUGGGGGUAUGUCGUCAAAACAGCUACAAUUAAUUUAGGGCUUUUGUGGAGAUAGGUGAGUACCAUUUUUUAUUUUUAUUUUUUUUGAUAGGUAAUCAUAAUUUUAUUAAUUAAAAGAGAUUACACGGGAUGUGUACAAUCACUUUAAACAAGAGAGAAACGUCAUGAAAUUAGGCAACCCUUCUAUUGUUGUUAUUUCAUGUUGGGUUUUAUUGCUUUAGGAUAUUUUCAAUGCUUUAUGGUGCAAGCUUGAAAAUUUAAGUAGUUAAUUCUAACCAAAUGGUUCGGCUCCAAUUUGAUUCCAUAUCUUAAAAAAGUCAUUUGAUUCCAUUAUCAAAAGAAUCAUUAAUUCAUGAUUCGGUUCGGUUCGGUUAUCUUGGAACUAGAACUAAAUGGAACCAUGUACAUCCCUAAAGUUAAUGCAUAAAAAUAAGCUCUAAGAGAUUCCAUUUUAAUUUUUAAAAUAGAAGUGGUUUGGAUUUCCAAAAUUAGAGAGCCAAACUUACUCCAUUCUCAAUGUACAAUGAUUGCUUUAAUAAGUCACAAAAUUCAAUACUCUAGUUCUUAAACUAUUCAAAACACAUUUAAAUUGAUUGCCUAUUGAUAAAUAAAAAAUUAUAUUAAAUAAAAUAUAAUGAGAAACCAAUAAAUAUUUCUUGGAAAAAAUAAAAAUGAAGAGCCAAAAUAGAAAGCAUUGUUGAAGUGUAUAAAAAUUUCAACUCUCUAAAUUUAAAGAUGCUCUCAACAAUGCAUGAGAUGCUUAUAAAGAGUCUCUCGGAUAUGCUCUUAGUAGCAUUAGACAUAUGGCUAUUUGGCAGGCCUAAAUAUCUUUGCAAGUUCUGAUAUUACACAUUAAUGAGAAGGAAAGUAAUAAUUUCUUUAAGAUCACAAAAAUCGGAUCCAGGAUCCGAGAAAGAAUUCCUAAUUAAACUGUUGUCAAAACCUUUAAAUGCAGUAAAUUGCCCAAGUUGCAAAAUUCUUGAAAGGGACAGAGCGAUCCAACUCCAAAAGAUUAGUAAUAAACGCGUAGAAUUCGUCGAAAAUCAAAUCAAUUCAAAUGAAUACGAAUUAUUCCAUCAAAAAUGUAGCACCGCAUAAUUAAAGGUAAAAAAGAAUAUUCGUAUAGCAUAAUUACCUUUACUCUGAUGAUGUAUUCUUCCUCCUUCUCAACAAAGAAAGCGUUAAAUUUCUCAAGUUCAUCCUCCAAUAACUUGACGAAAUUUGCCUCCGCCUCCGUCAUAACCACCCUUUCGCCACCACCAUCGGCGGCCAAUUCGUCGCCCACUUUCUGCCUCUUCUUGGCACUACCCUCUUCCCCAGCCGAUGACGACGGCCCCUUCGCCUCUAUCAGCUUGAGCUUCUUUUUGAGCUCCUUGUAUGACAAAAACUUGUCCCUCCAUUCAGGUAAAGUCUCAUCAAUUUGAUUGCUCAAACUCUUUCCAAACUUCAUACCGACUGAAAUCCAAAGAAACGGAAAAAUUAAAAUUAUGGGGUUGAUUGAAAAACACAAAAUUCAACAAAUUGAAAUUAAGGGUUUGGUCAGAAUUACGAAUUUGAUUGAAAAACAGAAAAUGAAUGGAUGGAGAUGAAAGUGUGUAGAGGAAAUGACGGAAAAGAAAGGCGAGGAGUGAUAUAACGGUAACUGAAGAGAGAGAAUAUGCGAGGGGUAGAGUGGGAAUAUUCUUCGUUAAAGAGGAUAUCUCUUGGUUUUAUUCUCUUCAGGACAGAGACUUAGAUUAAUUUUUUAUUCCUCUCUUUUCUUAAUUAUUAUAGUUGACACUUGGCAAUGAGGUUCAUUUUGGCUUGGACUGGGACUGGACUUAAAUAAUUAUUUCUCGAGAUAUUUAUGUCCGGACCGGACCUAGUGAACCGGAGUUAGAAGUUAGGCUGGCUAAAAAUAUAUAAAUAUGGAUUUUUUAGUAGUAAUUAUGAAAAUUGAUUUUUUGAUCGUUAGAAAGAAUAUUGAAUCAUAUUUGUGAGUGAAUAAAUAAAAAAUAACGGCUGAAAUAAUGAAAUAACGAUAAAAAAAAAUGAAUUUUUUGAGGUGAAAAAUUACUACCAAAUUUAAAUAUUGAUUUUUAUAAUUCCAUAUGAUAUUUAAUUAUUUGAAUCAACAAGAUCAAUAUACUUCCUAUUUCUAUAUCAAUCAUGAAAUUAUUUUUUUAUUAGACACCUAACUUGUUUCUAAUUUUAAGAAAAAAACAUAUGGCUAGUAUUUUUUUUUUGUAUGAUAUUUAAUUAUUUGAUUCAACGGGAUUAACAUACUUCUUAUUUCUAUAUCAAUCAUGAAAUAUUUUUCUAUUAGACACCUUUUUUUUUCAUUUUAUGAAAAAAAAACAUAUGGCUAUAAUAUAAAACACCGUCAUAUUCAACGGGAUUAACAUACUUCUUAUUUCUAUAUCAAUCAUGAAAUAUUUUUCUAUUAGACACCUUUUUUUUUUCAUUUUACGAAAAAAAAAACAUAUGGCUAUAAUAAAAAACACCGUCAUUUUCAAUGGGAUUAACAUACUUCUUAUUUCUAUAUCAAUCAUGAAUUAUUUUUCUAUUAGACACCUUUUUUUUUUCAUUUUACGAAAAAAAAAACAUAUGGCUAUAAUAAAAAACACCGUCAUUUUCAAUGGGAUUAACAUACUUCUUAUUUCUAUAUCAAUCAUGAAUUAUUUUUCUAUUAGACACCCUUUUUUUUUCAUUUUACAGAAAAUAACAUAUAGCUAUAAUAAAAAACACAGUCUCGUAUGUGUGUGUGUGUACUUAUGUAUGUAUGUGUGUGUGUGUGUAUAUAUAUAUACACACACAUACAAGUAUGUAUAUGUAUACAUAUACUUUUAAACAUAAUUUAUUUACAAAGAAUGUUUGUAAAAUAGAUCCACACAUGAUAUUUAUAGGAAUCUAAUUUAAAGAAAACGUAAACAUUUCAUAAUCAAUUAAAGAUAUUAAAUCACCGACUUCUCCAUGACAUGUUGCAUCUCUAUCUAACAUCAUCCACGCCCCCCAAGCAAGUCAAAUAAAUCCGUAGAUAGGGAAUUAACCCAUGAGUUUGAAACUCAAUAGAUGUCAUUUGUGCAUUUCGUUAUCAAACUAGAAAUUUCGUACUAUUGAUUCAUACCGUUGUACGUAGAUGGAUUUCCGGCAAAAUUCGAUAUCUAUAGCAUUAUCAUAACACGUAGAGCCGGAGAAUAAUCAUUCAAACUAUUGUAGUGCCGAAACAUCGUACCCGAAGGUACCAUUUCAUUCAAACAUUUACCAAAAAUCAUAAUUUGAAACGAAGUAAACAUUUGCACCUCUACCUACCUUGAAUUUUCUUGGAUAUCAAAGAACAAAUCUAGAUUCAAAGUUCGGUAUUCCAAAUACAAUUUACCCUUCUGUUUAUCACAAACAAUGUUAGGAAUCUGCGGCAAUCCAGUUCUAACCACAUGUAAUAUUGUUUGUUGGAAAUACUUGACAUCAGUAUGGUCUAUUUCUCUAGGACACCCUAGUGGUUAAGAUAGUUUAUAUGGUAAAACCAUGCUUAUUCGAGUAGGGUUUAAGUUAUUGUAUCUCAUGUAUCAUGACUAUGCCCCCGUUUGGCCCUCAUUACGUGAAAAAUUAAUGGGUGGAAUAGUAUUUUUUUUGAAAAAUGAGUGGUUAAAAAAGAAGGAAAAAUUUUCGAUUUACGCGUAAUAUUAUUUUAUGGAAGAUUGUGUGAUUGAAAAUAGGAAAGAGAAAAAUGAAAUGUAAUGUAAUGUAAAUUAAUGGGGCUCAAACAGGUGCUAUAUAUAGAUAUUGGAAAAAAAUGCCUACAGGAAAUUACUGCCUCUUGAUCACAAUCACACUAUCCUUGAUAGACAGAAGUCCGAUGGUGGUGCAAUAUUUGUCAUUGUAGGGCAGUUCAAUGAAAGAUGUGUUCCACGGGUCACUUUUUAGAAGAAUCGAUUAGUAUGAACAAGAUCCCACUUAUAAGUGUCGUGCGGGCUUGAUCUCAUCACAAUUUCGCUACUUGUACAGAAACUGUACAUAUUUGUCGAUGGAAUAUGAGAUGACAGUUUUUUGAUCCUUUAUUUGAAUGAAUGAUUGAGGGCCAAAAAUUGCCGCCUCAUUUCUGUCAACAAAUAUGUACAAAAAUUCUGUACAUGUAGCAAUUUUUGUCUCAUCAAACAUCUACCCAUAUAUAUCUUAGUUAUUUGCGUGCACUUAUUGCAACGACUACUGCAGUCAAGCCAAUCAAACCUACCUCCCUCCCUCCGGGCAGUAGAAUGGAAGUUAAAGAAGAUAACAUUCAAUGCCUUUAUGACAUCAAAUUUUACACACAACUAUAGAAAUUGUAUUUUAAGCAUCUUACAUCUAUGUCAGGAGAAAUUACAUGCAUAGAAAAUGCACGAUUAGAGAAACUAAAAACAGAUCAAAAUUCAAAUUAUACGGGGGGCAAUGACAGGUAUAGACCUCCAUAUAACUAGACUAUUUAGCAACUUGUUCAACGACAGGUGAUUUAUUCCAAGCUUCCUCUAAUCCACCAAGCUGCAAUGGUGGCAACGAAAACAUGCUAACAGUUGAGCUUCCACUACGAAUCUCUUUCAAAGCUCGUAAAGCAGAUAUAGUACUUUUCAUAUACAGGCUCUCCAUGAACUCGAUCUCAGCAAGUUCUUUUGGGCCUUUUAGCAGAACUUCAUUGUUGGUUGUGGAACUGGUUGAGGGUUCGUCUCCAUCAGCUGCCUCAGUUUCAGGUGGUGUUUUGUUCACUGGAAACAGGCGGUCGAGCAUUGUCUCACACUCUUUCACAAGCUUGUACAGUAAGUCAGUUGUAAAAAAAGGCUGUUGCACAACCUUCUGUAUGAAUGGCAGGCGAAGCAGAGCACCAGUUCUUUUGUCAUACUUCUUCAAUAUUUUGGCCAGUCCUGUUAAGCACAAAGUGAUAAAGACUAAAUCUUAAUAUUGUUUCAUGUGGACCAUAGUCUAAGACAUUGUAAGUAAAAAUUUAUAAAUAAUAAUUUUAAGGGCAUUAUAUGAACCAACUUCUCCAGCAAAAGGCUGGUAUAAGCCUUAUUUAUUAUCGACAGACUUCUCUAUAACACAUCGAGAUGUAAAUGAUUAGGACUGUGUUGGCUAUGAACAAAUUCUAUUAAUCUUACUUUUAUCCAUCUAGAUUACAGUAUUGAUGCCACAAGGGAUAAUUCAAUGAAUUUUUCAGACAAGACGUAUCUAAAACAGAGGAAAGCAUGAUAUGGAAGUUUUGAUUUGUUGAUAUUCUCACUCAAUAAUUAUAUAGCAGGAAUUCAACAGUCAAGAAAUUCAUAGUUCUAAAGCUGUCAUAAUGUGAAGGCAAAAAACAGAAGUAAUUAGAUUACAGAGUUAACUAGAAAAAUGUAAAAGC
rnacentral:lncRNA from 1 species